AUUGAACGCUGGUGGCAGGCCUAACAAAUGCAAGUCGUGCGGAGCGGCGGACGGGUGAGUCAUGCCUAGGAAUCUGCCUGGUAGUGGGGGAUAACGUCCGGAAACGGGCGCUAAUACCGCAUACUAUCAGAUGAGCCUAGGUUGGAUUAGCUAGUUGGUGGGGUAAAGGGCUAACAAGGCGACGAGCCGUAACUGGGCUGAGAGGAUGAGCAGUCACACGGGGACGGAGAGACGGUCCAGAGUCCUACGGGAGUCAGCAGUGGGGAAGAUUGGACAAUGGGCGAAAGCCGGAUGCAGCCAUGCCGCGUGUGUGAAGAAGGUCUGCGGGUUGUAGAGGACUUUAAGUUGGGAGGCGUUACCUACAGAAGAAGCACCGGCUAACGUCGUGCCAGCAGCCGCGGUAAUAC
rnacentral:rRNA from 1 species